rnacentral:piRNA from 1 species
UAUAUCAGCAUUUGUGUGAGCAGUAUGGUC